rnacentral:rRNA from 1 species
GAUGAACGCUGACGGCGUGCCUAAAACAUGCAAGUCGAGCGAACGGACGAGAAGCUUGCUUCUCUGAUGUUAGCGGCGGACGGGUGAGUAACACGUGGAUAACCUACCUAUAAGACUGGGAUAACUUCGGGAAACCGGAGCUAAUACCGGAUAAUAUUUUGAACCGCAUGGUUCAAAAGUGAAAGACGGUCUUGCUGUCACUUAUAGAUGGAUCCGCGCUGCAUUAGCUAGUUGGUAAGGUAACGGCUUACCAAGGCAACGAUGCAUAGCCGACCUGAGAGGGUAGUCCGCCCCCACGGAACUGAGACAAGGUCCAGACUCCUACGGGAGGCAGCAGUAGGGAAUCUUCCGCAAUGGGAGAAAGCCUGACGGAGCAAAGCCGCGUGAGUGAUGAAGGUCUUCGGAUCGUAAAACUCUGUUAUUAGGGAAGAACAUAUGUGUAAGUAACUGUGCACAUCUUGACGGUACCUAAUCAGAAAGCCACGGCUAACUACGUG